GGUAGCAUGGCUCAAGUGAUAGAGUAAUUGCCUAGUAAGCACAAGUCUGAGUUCAAAUCCCAGUACUGUCA
rnacentral:tRNA from 1 species